GGGGAGGUUGAACUUGAGAUAGAGUUCCUGAAAAAGCACAUCCCUUUGGCAAGAGCUGCUCGUAACCGAUAAACACUGGAACAGGAAACGAUGAAAACAUUUAAAUAAGCCAGCAGGAAACAAUAUUUCUGUGUGUGUCAGAGAAGCAGGGAGAGACACCAGGAUGGCAACUGAAGGGGCCACAGAGAAGAGAGCCAACUUGGUGGCAUCUAAAGUCAUGUGGAGUAACAGGGAUGACGUACCUAUGUCAGCACCAGAACGGUCACAUGGCAGUGACAGAGCUGGAAUCUGUAGACAGAACAACGUCCAACAGUGGCUUAGAAGUCAUGAGGCGGAUGCAAAACCAGACCACACCAGAGAAGCUGCAGCAGGGCUUCUUAAGAGGAACGCCAGCAGUGAGGAUGACUUAGCGUUGGGCGUCGAAGCGUCUUUAUAUGGUAAACAGGGAGUGAGGACCGUCCAGGAAUUUCUGAGGAGUUCCAGGUCCAGCCCAGUUCUCACCAGGUGGAACAGCUUGACCUCAGCCUUCUCAGCACAGUCAGCUCCACUCAGUGUAAUGGAUGUGCUGAAUCUGUGGAGUGACGACCCAGAGGAGGUCCUACUAGAUCUGGGCUUCGGCUGUGACGAGCCUGACAUCUCUGGACGGAUCCCUGCCCGCUUCAUCAACAACCAGUCCAGCGCCCGGGGAAUCAACAUCCAGGUGUUCCUGGACGCCCAGAAGAACCGCAUGGACAUAGAGAACCCUGAUGUCAGCAAUAGGUUCAGGCAGUUGGAGGUGCUGCAGCAGGUUACCACUGCAUUCUCAUCCCUGGUCGGUGGUGCGUCUACAGACUCCGUCUCCGAGAGCGGAGUUCCAGCUUUAGCUUCAGCCGGGGCCAGGGAGAAGAGGAAGAGAAUGGGCAUGCUGCUCCGCCGGGUCUCCAGAAAAACCCUCAGCCAAACCCAGUUUCAGACACAAAACCAGACCCAGGACUCCCAGGACACAAACCCCACUCCCCACAGUCCUGUAACCCACUUACCGCAGCCCCUGGCUGGCCUCCCUGACAGGCGGACCCCGCUGAAACGAGCCAGACAGGGCCUGGCUGAGAGUAUAUGUCUGACCCCGCUGGCAGAGGAGCAAGGCCUAGCCUCGGAAGCACCAGAGCCCCACUCGGUCCACCAGGAGGGUGCACUCUGGCUGGAGGUGGGGAAGGAGUAUCAACCCCUGAUCUCCAGUGGUAUUCCAACCAGAAAGAAAAGUCCUGGGGAGGCCAGGGAGUCCUUUGAGAUGGAGGAGAUCCAGAGCUUUGAUGAGGGCAGUAUUUCUGGGAGCUACAUGGGAGCAUCCGACACCACAGGCUACGCUGCUGCCCAUAUGACUUGAAGAUUGCUGUACACCAGCGGAACCCAUCCAACUUGAAGUAGAUGGAGCAGUUUUGCCUUGAAGAAUUGGAAAAAAGCUCAGCGGCUAGAUGUGCCAAGCUUAUAGAGACAUAACCCAAGAGACUUGCAGCUGUAAUUGCUGCAAAAGGUGGCUCUACAAAGUAUGGACUUUGCAGGAUGGUCCUCCCCUUCAUCCUCUGAGGAGCCUCCACUGCUAACAGAAUAAGCAAAUUGUGUCCUAACUUUUAGUUGAUUCACCAGGCAAAGCAGUGUGUGUGAUGAGGACUAACAGCUGCCAGUCUGACAGCAGUGGCUUCCUGGAAGAGCCCUUCAUCCCUUCCAUUACCCAGCAUCCCUCACCUGGACCCGAGCUCAUGAAGGCUUUGUCGGGAAUAUUUGGAGGCAGCACUGACAGCCAGAUCACUGUAAAAGGAGCUUCACCCCCCUCGUCCCCCCCAUCCACUUCCCUGGACCCUUCCCCUCCUUCCCUCUCCAUGUGCCACCCAAGACCCGAGUCUCCUCUAUACAGACCAGAGACAACAAGCCCUACAGAGGAGACACCCAGACACCAGGAUUCCCCCACACCCCACUCCCUCUCUGAUGCCUUGGAGAUGACUAACUCUGCUUUUGGAGCCAGGCCAAGCCUAAUGGAAAACACUGUCACUGAGGAAGAUGGAUUCUCUUCGGCCUGCGGUUCACCUUGUCAUAAGCCAGACUCUCCGUUACGGCACGUUAUUAUUAUCAUGAAAACAGAUAGAGAAACAGAACACUUUACUGUGGAAUCAGAGGAAGCUGUUCCAAUAGGAGGAGAGGAAAAGGACAUAGCGGAACAAAGUGGCAAUGUUCAGACAGGAACAGAGGCUGUUGGUGAUCAGGACACCGAUUGUUAUGGGUCACAUGAAGGCUCUCGGAUGAACUCGGUAGCUCUGGUGCAGAUGAAGAAAGAGACAGAGAUGAAGACGAAAGUACAGAUUAGUUCUGGUUUGGAAGGUCCAGUGUUGGGUCCUGUUGCUGUUCCUGAGGUGGUGAAUCAAGGCUCUGAGACUGGAUCUGUUUGUCAGGACCGGUACUCUGAAGAUCCUCUAUUAGGAUCUGACCCUAACUUCUCAGCAGAGCCUCUCCCUGCCUCCUCUCUCCCCCCAGCAGAGCCUCUCCCUGCCUCCUCUCUCCCCCCAGCAGAGCCUCUCUCUGCCUCCCUCCCCCCAGUGCACUGGGAAACAGGUGGCUCAAAGAUUUCAGAGGGAUCCUCAAGCUUGGUUGUCCAAGAGCCUGUCCCACCACUAUAUCAACCAGCAGACCCAUCGACAGACCCACCUCCAGGCCCAGCUUUAACCUCACCUUCAGAGCAAGUGUCACCUCCAUCCCCACCACCAUCUCCAUCCCCAGCCUCGUGGCCACACCAACCUCCAGCCUCAGCUUUUCCGGCAGCAUCCAGCUCAUCUCCAACCCAAGCCCAUUCCCCAAUCCCAAACCAUUCUCUAUCAGCCCUAACCACAACACCAACCCCAUCCUCAAUUCCAAACUCGCCAUCAGCCCAUUCCUUAACCGUAGCUCCAUCUCAAGCCCCAACUCCACUCGUCCCCCACAGUGGUGCUUUCAGGUCAGGCCGGUCUGUGUCUGUCCAGAUGCCCUCCUCCCUGCCCUCUGUCUCCCACUCUGCCCUCCGGAGAGGUGGCGUCCCCCACACCCCCUCCCCGCUCGGCCCUUCCUUCGAGCCCCGCCCCCUGACUGACCUGACGCUCCGGCAGAGGCGGAACUCCUUCUCCAGGAAGGCGUGGUCAGAUGCUGAUGUCUCCCACUUUGCAGAACACAGAAACACUGCGGUUGCCAUGGGAAAGGCAGUCAUGACACCUGAGAUGAUAUCCCUCCUGUCCCCCGUCCCCUCCCUGUCAUCGUCCAAUCGGUGGCUGUCUCGCGACGGUUCACGAAGAUCCGGAAGUUUCCAGAUGAAGUCCACCUCCUUGGACACGGGGCUGUGGCAGGAGGAAGAGGGGGAUGAAGUGGGGGAUGAGGAUAGACGGUGGGAACGAGCCCUGUUCUCUGGGCUUUCCUGCUGCUGCUCCUGUGAUAACCGCUGUAGCUGCUGUUCUCAGAACAAUCACCUCAAACCAUCCUCCGUUUCAGCUUUCCCUGUAAGUAACACACACAAUUCAGUUACUCUCUCUUUGGCAAACCUUCAAUUGAUUCACACAGGAUAAUAUACGAACAAAUACAAGACUAAAUAACUAAAAUAAUGCAGCCUCACCCAUGAAAAUGUCUGCAACAAAAGUGCCCUUUCUAUGGCUACGUCUGAUCAUUAAAAGAGUUAUUCAAUUCCUUAUCUGUAUAUUUAUAGAAUAUUUGAGGAGGCAUUGAGGCACAUCACAUGUGUUUUUCCUGUUGACAUGAUGAACAAAUCCUCUUUGCAUGUUAGAAUCUUUAUUGGCCCUUCUAAAGAUGGUGGUUUGGUUUCAUACGCAGCAGUGGGCAUUUGCAUGUGAAUGCCUGUUUUGCAUGAUGAGCAGCAGUAGAGGAGGAAGUUCACCACUCUCUCUCUGGCUCUUUAGUGGCCUCAAGCACAGCUCACUUCUAAAAAAAUAAAAUUAUAUGAAAGGUCCUAUUCACCAAGAAGGGUCAAUAGGAUUGGGGUUGCUACUUGAGUCUUUAGUAGACCCUUUUUUGUCUCUCACGUAAUGCCUGUUUUAUGGAGGUGACCACCAUUGUGCUCUGAUGGAAAUUAUGUGUUGAGUAGGCUACUGUAAUUUAUCUUUGUGAACAGCUGAAUUUGAUACUUCUGAGAACAGAACAUCUACACUAUGGCGUUCAUCUGAGUUCAACAUCUAUGGCCUUCAUAUUUGUAUUGAGUCCAUUUGGUUGUUCUAAUUGGUUUAAUUAUCAACCUCUUCGAGCUAACCACUGCAAUUUCGUUGAUAGGCAAAAACAGACCUUUCCUCCCUUAUGCGCUGAUUCACUGUACAGUAUUCCUGACUUUGUGUUGUCUCUAUCCUCUCUCAUGAUAUUAUUCUGUGCAGUAUUCCCUGGAUGAGCUGGAGGGGAUGAUGCACUGUAUGAGGAAGUUCCGCUGCGUCCUGACAGACAUCGAGGAACAGCUGUCAGAAGACCAGGCCUCGGUGUACAGCUCACUCUCUGACACUGACAGAGAUGAAGUGCGAGACAUCUUGGAGCUGAGGAAAGCUGUGAAACAGGAAGCAGGAGAGUUGGAACUGCAGCUCACUGACCUGGUUCAUCGCUAUGACGACAGCUUCAAAAUGAAGAUGCACAGACUACUCGAUGAACAAUCUCACCUCUACACCCAGCUAAGGCUCCUCCCCCUGAUCCCCAAGACCACCCCUGGCUCCGCCUCCUCUAGGAGCAUGGCCACUCAGUGCUGCCUGCUGCCCUGGCUGCCUUUGACGGACAUGUCCAGGCCACACCCCUCACCGCAGGCCACCUGGGAUUUGGAGUCCAGAUCAGCUCUGCCAGAUUCCAGUUCUAUGGGCCAGAGACUAAACCAUGGUUCUACCGGCACCAAGCCAGACAAACUGGACAUUGUGGGUUUCAUCCAGAGACUGAAGGAGUCCAUACGCCACUCUGUCAAUACUGACUCACUGGAGUAAAAGAGAGAUGCUGCUUCUGCUGUAGCUAACUGAAAAUGAUCUGCUGUCUAAGUUAUAGUGUGUCCAAUCAACCUGGACUCGGGUAGAUGUAACAUAAUAAACGUAAAUCUGUCUCCCUCCAGUUAGUAUGAUAUGUUAGGUGUGGUAAGGUAUGUAUUUCUUUGUGGAUGUCCAUCAUCCAUUUCUUAUGUUAUAAAUAACAAUUCAUAUGAUAUGUUACGAAUUGCAAUUUGUACAAUAUGUUACGAAUUUGCGAUUAAGUAUGAUAUGUCACAAAUUCCAGUUUGAUGUGGCUAACCCUAACAUUAAAGUAGCUAACGUUAACUAGGCUAAGGGUUAGCUAACAUGCUAAGUAGGUGCAAAAAGUAGUACGUUUCAAAAUAGCUAAUUAGCCUAAAUGCUCAAGUUGUCCGUGAUGAGAUCGGAAGACGCAACCUUAGAGGUGCUAGAAGUUUGCAUUAUAUGCCCACCUAUCCACCCCGACCCACCACCCUCCUUUUGUUUUUGCCUUAUGUAACCUUACCAAACAUACCAUAUCAUAUUCAUUUGAGUGUCCUGGAUUUACGUUGACUAUGUCUAGUCUAUGAAACCAGGCUGGUGUAAUCAAUGGAUUCUAUUACUACUAAAGUAGUCCAGUGUCCACAUAAUGAAUAAAGAGCACGAAUGCAUGAAAUCAUGUGUGCUUGUUCUAUAACGUGCCGAUCCAAUGCAUAACAUACUGUCCAAAGAGUUUAUUUGUGUGUAUUGUCAUUCCCUACGUAUCAACAACAGCAUUCGUCUCAACUAAGGAUGUGUUCUUAUUGUAACAUGAAGUCUCCUACUGUUACCUACCUGCAUCAAUGCUCUGGGUAAGACAGUUCCCCAUCCACAUGAGAUCCAUGCAGUAUGUGUAUGCUAUAGAGAGGAGCUCCUAUGUGUCACCCUCCUGUUCUGGGUUAUGUCCUUAUUAGCACAAGAGGUGGUCUUGCUCACGUCUCCUGCCUCUUCAGACCCCAAUUAGCAGCUGGGUAGUAACAUUCCAGCCUGUGAGCCUGAUGCAUUUCAUGACUCCCUCUACUGGUGCUCCCAACUAAAAUGUAAGAGCACCACAUGCCAUUUAGGAACACCAGAAAAUAAGAUUUAAAAAAAAUGUUUUAUUGCAAUACAGCCUACGGUAUAUAGAGCCCCACAGUGGAAGUGUCAUAAUACCCAUAAACCUAACGGUCAAACAGGGAGUCACCUUGUCCUUGACAGAUUUAGAUUGUUAUCAAAACGCCACGCCAGGGUAAGCCUACACAACACAGCUCUUAUUUUAAGUGUUUGUAAAAUCCCCUAUGGGAAAAAUGAAUGAAUGGUGGAAAAACAAUUGCAACCAUUUCCUUGUUUGACUGCUAGGUUUUAUGGGUAUUAUGACUCAUACUGUGGUACUCUAUUGGGCCUAAAUGAAUUCUAGUUACUUUAGAAGCAAAUGUUGUGCCCUAGAAAGUAAUAUGUUUAUUAUAAAAUGUUCAAGUCAUUUGUGGAAUAUUAAGUUUCUACGUUGUGUAAAAGCACUAUUUUCCUACUGAGAUGCAUUACAUAGAUAAUUGCACACUUUCCCUUCAAAAAGGUCAGGUUUGUGAUGGCAAAGUUCAAGAGAUCUGUCGUUCAACAUUGUGCUUUCAAGACAACCGGGGAAAAAAACUCAGUCUAAUCAUGACGUCAGUAAUCUUCAAGUCGGAGCUCUGGAAAGUAAGUAUGGUAGCUGCAGCCCAAUAGAACCCCACAGUGGAGUUGUCAUAAUACACAUAAAACAUAGUGGUCAAACAGGUAAAUGGUUUCAAUCAUUUUUCCACCAUUCAUUUUUCCCAUAGGGAAUUUUAGAAACACUUUUGUGUAUGCUUACCAUAGCAUGACAUUUGAUAACCAUGUAAAUCUCUCCCAGACAAAGUGACUAAUCAAUAUAUUCGGCCCUAUUUACUCUCAGAUUUGAAAAUACUAAUUAGCAUCAAAGUAGACAUCAUGCAAGACUACAAAUCCCUGCAAGCUCCUGCAUGUCAUCUCUCUGACACAUUUGCUAACAGAUAGUGUCAAUUCAAAACUUGCACAAGACAGUUCACAAAAUUUAAUUUAAAGACGUAUAGCCAAUUUAUUAAUUACUACAUUUAGCUAACAUUAGAUAGUUAAUCCAGAGAUUCUUACCUUUGCCUCGAUUUGGCAGUCUUGUGUUAUGCUGACUGCAGAAAUGUCCACCGGAGCUGUUGCCAGAGAAUUUAAUGUUAAUUUCUCUACCAUAAGCCGCCUCUCCAAUGUCAUUUUAGAGAAUUUGGCAGUAUGUCCAACGGGCCUCACAACCACAGUCCACAUGUACCCACGCCAGCCCAGGACUUCCACAUCUGGCUUCUUCAACUGCGGGAUCGUCUGAGACCAGCCACCCAGACAACUGAUGAAAUGGUGGGUUUGCUCAACCAAAGAAUUUCUGCACAAACUGUCAGAAACCAUCUCAGGGAAGCUCAUCUGCGUUCUCGUCGUCUUGACCUGACUGCAGUUUGGCGUCAUAACCAACUCGGUGUUGUGUGGCUCAGUUGGCAGAGCAUGGUGUUUGCAAUGCCAGGGUUGUGGGUUUGAUUCCCACGGGGGACCGGUAUGGAGAAAAAAAUGUAUGAAAUGUAUGCAUUCACUACUGUAAGUCGCUCUGGCUAAGAGCGUCUGCUAAAUUACUAAAAUGUAAACUUCAGUGGGCAAGUGCUUACUUUCGAUGGCCACUGGCACACUGGAGAAGUGUGACCUUCAUGGAUGAAUGCCGGCGUCAACUGUACCAGGCAGAUAGCGUGUAUGGUGUCAUGUGGGGGAGCAGUUCGCUGAAGUCAAUGCUGUGAACAGAGUGCCCCAUGGUGGCGGUGUGGUUAUAGUAUGGGCAGGCAUAGGGUACGGACAAUGAACGCAAUUGCAUUUUAUCGAUGGCAAUUUGAAUGCCAUUGUGGUGAAGGUAGGAAACAUCUCCACUUCUCUGACCCUCAACACUGGGGCCCCACAAGGGUGCAUGCUCAGCCCCCUCCUGUACUCCCUGUUCACCCAUGACUGCGUGGCCAUGCACGCCUCCAACUCAAUCAUCAAGUUUGAAGAACAACAGCGACGAAACAGACAACAGGGAGGAGGUGAGGGCACUCAGUGUGGUGUCAGGAAAACAACUUCUCGCUCAACGUCAACAAAACAAAGGAGAUGAUCGUGGACUUCAGGAAACAGCAGAGGGAGCAUCCCCUAUCCACAUCGAAGGGACAGCAGUGGAGAAGGUGGGAAGUUAAGUUCUUUGGUGUCCACAUCACAGACAAACUGAAAUGGUCCACUCACACACAGUGUUGUGAAGAAACCUCAGGAGGCUGAAGAAAUUGGGCUUGUCACCCAAAACCAUGACAAACUUUUACAGAUGCACAAUCGAGAGCAUCCUGUCGGGCUGUAUCACAGCCUGGUACGGCAACUGCACUUCCUUCAACCGCAAGGCUUUCGAGAGGGUGGUGCGGUCUGCACAACGCAUCACCAGGGGCAAAAUUCCUGCCCUCCAUGACAGCUACAGCACCCGAUGUCACAGGAAGGCCAAAAAGAUCAUCAUGGACAUCAACCACCCGAGCCACUACCUGUUCACACAGCUACCAUCCAGAAGGCGAGGUCAGUACAGGUGCAUGAAAGCUGGGACCGAGAGACUGAAAAACAGCUUCUAUCUGAAGGCCAUCAGACUGCUAAACAGCAAUCACUAACUCCGAGUCUGCUGUCUACAUUAAACCCAAUCACUGGCCACUUUAAUAAAUGGAUCACUAGUCACUUUAUUCAAUGUACUCUAAAUAAUGGCACUUUAAUAAUGUUCACAUAUCUUACAUUACUCAUAUCACAUGUACAUACUGUAUUUUAUACCAUCUAUUGCACAAUGCCUAUGCCGCUCAGCCAUCGCUCAUCCAUAUACUUAUAUGUACAUAUUUUCAUUCACCCCUUUAGAUUUGUGUAUAUUAGGUAGUUGUUGGGGAAUUCUUAGAUUACUUGUUAGAUAUUACUGCACUGUUGGAACUAGAAGCACAAGCAUUUCGCUACACUCACAUUAACAUCUGCUAACCAUGUGUAUGUGACAAAUAAAAUUUGAUUUGUACACACUUCCUGGAAGCUGAAAUACGACUCAAACUCACCCUCUGGCUUAAAAACAGAAGUCUAAACUCUAGUGGUACUGUACCUCAAUGUAUAUUAGUUGAGUGGUAAGAAACGGAAGGAGAAAAAAACAAGGUGUUUUCGACAAACCCACUCCUUUCCACACUUGCACUUCUUUCCUUUCGAUGCACCCACACUCCGGUAACCAUAUUGGUAUGUAUGGUGUUAAUUCAGAUUCAAAAGUUGAACAGCUGCAAUAUGGCGCCCGUGCCUAAAAUUAAACAUAAUUGCGGGAGCAAACAAUUGAGAGAAGAACUGUGGUCGAGUGAGCAGAGGAC
rnacentral:lncRNA from 1 species